UACAGAGGUGGCAAGCGUUGUUCGGAAUUACUGGGCGUAAAGGGCGCGUAGGCGGUCUUGUAAGUCUUGUGUGAAAUCCCUCGGCUCAACUGAGGAACUGCACGGGAUACUGCGAGACUUGAGUUCGGGAGAGGGAAGCGGAAUUCCAGGUGUAGCGGUGAAAUGCGUAGAUAUCUGGAGGAAUACCGGUGGCGAAGGCGGCAUCCUGGACCGGCAUUGACGCUGAGGAACGAAAGCCAGGGGAGCAAACGGG
rnacentral:rRNA from 1 species